CCAAGACUAUUACAGGUACGGGCUCUGAGAGGAGUGGCCCGGAGAUGGGUACUGAGACACGGACCCAGGCCCUAUGGGGCGCAGCAGGCGAGAAAACUUUGCAAUGUGCGAAAGCACGACAAGGUUAAUCCGAGUGGUUUCUGCUAAAGGAACCUUUUGUCAGUCCUAGAAACACUGAUGAAUAAGGGGUGGGCAAGUUCUGGUGUCAGCCGCCGCGGUAAAACCAGCACCUCAAGUGGUCAGGAUGAUUAUUGGGCCUAAAGCAUCCGUAGCCGGCUUUGUAAGUUUUCGGUUAAAUCCAUGCGCUUAACGUAUGGGCUGCCGGGAAUACUGCAAAGCUAGGGAGUGGGAGAGGUAGACGGUACUCGGUAGGAAGGGGUAAAAUCCUUUGAUCUAUUGAUGACCACCUGUGGCGAAGGCGGUCUACCAGAACACGUCCGACGGUGAGGGAUGAAAGCUGGGGGAGCAAACCGGAUUAGAUACCCGGGUAGUCCCAGCUGUAAACUAUGCAAACUCAGUGAUGCAUUGGCUUGAUGCCAAUGCAGUGCUGCAGGGAAGCCGUUAAGUUUGCCGCCUGGGAAGUACGUACGCAAGUAUGAAACUUAAAGGAAUUGGCGGGGGAGCACAAGGGCGAAUUCGGGGCCAAUUUG
rnacentral:rRNA from 1 species